rnacentral:lncRNA from 1 species
CCCUCCUCCAAUCCCCUGGACUGUUACUGUUAGGUUGAAUGCCCUCCACCAAUACCCUGGACUGUUACUGUUAGGUUGAAUGCCCUCCACCAAUACCCUGGACUGUAACUGUUAGGUUGAAUGCCCUCCACCAAUACCCUGGACUGUAACUGUUAGGUUGAAUGCCCUCCUCCAAUCCCCUGGACUGUUACUGUUAGGUUGAAUGCCCUCCACCAAUACCCUGGACUGUAACUGUUAGGUUGAAUGCCCUCCUCCAAUCCCCUGGACUGUAACUGUUAGGUUGAAUGCCCUCCUCCAAUCCCCUGGACUGUUACUGUUAGGUUGAAUGCCCUCCACCAAUCCCCUGGACUGUUACUGUUAGGUUGAAUGCCCUCCUCCAAUCCCCUGGACUGUUACUGUUAGGUUGAAUGACUAACGAUGAAGCCUACCGAAGCCUACAGUGAUUUGCUCUGACAGCAUUUUCUAUGUUAAUUUGACUAAUGAGUAACAUUUAAAGUAUUUUUUAAAGAGGUACUCAUGUCAACAAAUGAAUGGAGUUUCUUUUACAGGGAGAGCUGUAUGAACGGGGGAUAGACACUAUGAGGAAAUGGGAGGGGAGAGGAGGGGACGUCACAUAGUUUUACAACCUGAAGGAUGAACCAUGUCUCUAACAUUUUGUAUUUUAUUGGAGCUGUGGAUGUGGCUAGCUCUGGUCCAGGGGGUUAGUGCAUUCCUCGCUAACGCCCUGGACCAGAGCUAGUUGUGGCUAACUGUGGUGGGACUGAGGAGAAAUAGAAUUUUAAAAUGCUGUAAAAGAAACCCAAGACCUUACUUUAAAGACAAGAUCAAAGCUGCUCUCCCUAAUGAGGAGUUGUACAUAUAAAUAUAUUUGAACAUAGUAUUAUUUGCAAUAUUAUAAUGUACAGAAUUGUAUUUAUAUUGUAUCUCAACAAACUGUUUUAAUUGGUACCAAGAUGUUCUAGAAUACAGAACGUUUACAAUCUAAACACUUGUGUGUGUCGCCUCUUAUUUGCAUCCAAUCAGUUGAGUCAAUGCAGGUAUUUAUUGAGUCAAUGCAGGUAUUUAUUGAGUCAAUGCAGGUAUUUAUUGAGGCAAUGCAGGUAUUGAGACUCG